rnacentral:rRNA from 1 species
GGGUUGUGAGGUUAAGCGACUAAGCGUACACGGUGGAUGCCCUGGCAGUCAGAGGCGAUGAAGGACGUGCUAAUCUGCGAAAAGCGUCGGUAAGGUGAUAUGAACCGUUAUAACCGGCGAUGUCCGAAUGGGGAAACCCAGUGCAAUUCGUUGCACUAUCGUUAACUGAAUACAUAGGUUAACGAGGCGAACCGGGGGAACUGAAACAUCUAAGUACCCCGAGGAAAAGAAAUCAACCGAGAUUCCCCCAGUAGCGGCGAGCGAACGGGGAGCAGCCCAGAGUCUGAAUCAGCUUGUGUGUUAGUGGAACGGUCUGGAAAGUCCGACGGUACAGGGUGAUAGUCCCGUACACCAAAAUGCACAGGCUGUGAACUCGAAGAGUAGGGCGGGACACGUGGUAUCCUGUCUGAAUAUGGGGGGACCAUCCUCCAAGGCUAAAUACUCCUGACUGACCGAUAGUGAACCAGUACCGUGAGGGAAAGGCGAAAAGAACCCCGGCGAGGGGAGUGAAAAAGAACCUGAAACCGUGUACGUACAAGCAGUGGGAGCACCUUCGGGUGUGACUGCGUACCUUUUGUAUAAUGGGUCAGCGACUUAUAUUCUGUAGCAAGGUUAACCGUAUAGGGGAGCCGCAGGGAAACCGAGUCUUAACUGGGCGUUAAGUUGCAGGGUAUAGACCCGAAACCCGGUGAUCUAGCCAUGGGCAGGUUGAAGGUUGGGUAACACUAACUGGAGGACCGAACCGACUAAUGUUGAAAAAUUAGCGGAUGACUUGUGGCUGGGGGUGAAAGGCCAAUCAAACCGGGAGAUAGCUGGUUCUCCCCGAAAGCUAUUUAGGUAGCGCCUCGUGAACUCAUCUUCGGGGGUAGAGCACUGUUUCGGCUAGGGGGUCAUCCCGACUUACCAACCCGAUGCAAACUACGAAUACCGAAGAAUGUUAUCACGGGAGACACACGGCGGGUGCUAACGUCCGUCGUGAAGAGGGAAACAACCCAGACCGCCAGCUAAGGUCCCAAAGUCAUGGUUAAGUGGGAAACGAUGUGGGAAGGCACAGACAGCCAGGAUGUUGGCUUAGAAGCAGCCAUCAUUUAAAGAAAGCGUAAUAGCUCACUGGUCGAGUCGGCCUGCGCGGAAGAUGUAACGGGGCUAAACCAUGCACCGAAGCUGCGGCAGCGACACUAUGUGUUGUUGGGUAGGGGAGCGUUCUGUAAGCCUGCGAAGGUGACCUGUGAGGGUUGCUGGAGGUAUCAGAAGUGCGAAUGCUGACAUAAGUAACGAUAAAGCGGGUGAAAAGCCCGCUCGCCGGAAGACCAAGGGUUCCUGUCCAACGUUAAUCGGGGCAGGGUGAGUCGACCCCUAAGGCGAGGCCGAAAGGCGUAGUCGAUGGGAAACAGGUUAAUAUUCCUGUACUUGGUGUUACUGCGAAGGGGGGACGGAGAAGGCUAUGUUAGCCGGGCGACGGUUGUCCCGGUUUAAGCAUGUAGGCUGGUUAUCCAGGCAAAUCCGGAUAAUCAAGGCUGAGGUGUGAUGACGAGGCACUACGGUGCUGAAGUAACAAAUGCCCUGCUUCCAGGAAAAGCCUCUAAGCAUCAGGUAACAUCAAAUCGUACCCCAAACCGACACAGGUGGUCAGGUAGAGAAUACCAAGGCGCUUGAGAGAACUCGGGUGAAGGAACUAGGCAAAAUGGUGCCGUAACUUCGGGAGAAGGCACGCUGGUGUGUAGGUGAAGUCCCUGCGGAUGGAGCUGAGACCAGUCGAAGAUACCAGCUGGCUGCAACUGUUUAUUAAAAACACAGCACUGUGCAAACACGAAAGUGGACGUAUACGGUGUGACGCCUGCCCGGUGCCGGAAGGUUAAUUGAUGGGGUUAUCCGUAAGGAGAAGCUCUUGAUCGAAGCCCCGGUAAACGGCGGCCGUAACUAUAACGGUCCUAAGGUAGCGAAAUUCCUUGUCGGGUAAGUUCCGACCUGCACGAAUGGCGUAAUGAUGGCCAGGCUGUCUCCACCCGAGACUCAGUGAAAUUGAACUCGCUGUGAAGAUGCAGUGUACCCGCGGCAAGACGGAAAGACCCCGUGAACCUUUACUAUAGCUUGACACUGAACAUUGAGCCUUGAUGUGUAGGAUAGGUGGGAGGCUUUGAAGCGUGGACGCCAGUCUGCGUGGAGCCAACCUUGAAAUACCACCCUUUAAUGUUUGAUGUUCUAACGUUGGCCCCUGACCGGGGUUGCGGACAGUGUCUGGUGGGUAGUUUGACUGGGGCGGUCUCCUCCCAAAGCGUAACGGAGGAGCACGAAGGUUAGCUAAUCCUGGUCGGACAUCAGGAGGUUAGUGCAAUGGCAUAAGCUAGCUUGACUGCGAGCGUGACGGCGCGAGCAGGUGCGAAAGCAGGUCAUAGUGAUCCGGUGGUUCUGAAUGGAAGGGCCAUCGCUCAACGGAUAAAAGGUACUCCGGGGAUAACAGGCUGAUACCGCCCAAGAGUUCAUAUCGACGGCGGUGUUUGGCACCUCGAUGUCGGCUCAUCACAUCCUGGGGCUGAAGUAGGUCCCAAGGGUAUGGCUGUUCGCCAUUUAAAGUGGUACGCGAGCUGGGUUUAGAACGUCGUGAGACAGUUCGGUCCCUAUCUGCCGUGGGCGCUGGAGAAUUGAGGGGGGCUGCUCCUAGUACGAGAGGACCGGAGUGGACGCAUCACUGGUGUUCGGGUUGUCAUGCCAAUGGCACUGCCCGGUAGCUAAAUGCGGAAGAGAUAAGUGCUGAAAGCAUCUAAGCACGAAACUUGCCCCGAGAUGAGUUCUCCCUGAGACUUUAAGUCUCCUGAAGGAACGUU